UGGUACGCUCGCUCAGCAUGCGAGAUACCCCAUAUCUUCAUUAUGCUUUCUUUUCUGCAAUUUUUUUUCCAUGCAUGUCACCAAUAAACUCUGAUGAUACAGAGGAUCAUGGCAAGCCAUCUUCUCAGCAGCUAACCAAGGAACGCCAAAUGAGCAUCUGCACAUCUGUCAGUCGACCUCUCUGGUCCUGACGUGUCAUUACCAGCACAAAAAUAUAACGAAAUUUCCCCAAACAGGCAGCUGACAGUUAAUUCCCUCUUGGAAAUAAACCAGCCGAAGCUAAAUGCAUAUUUUCUGAAUUAAACGCACAAAAUCCAGAGACUCCCACGUUAACGAAGCUGCACUUCAUUUCUCCGCAUAUCAUAUUUGGAGUGACAAUUUAACGCUUCUCUCAGUCGAAUUUUCGAGGUCUUUACGAGUUCAACGACGUCGUAUUCUGCAAAAUUGUUAUAAUGUGGUGACUUUGUUAAUUCUUCGCGCAAUUUAGAGUUGGAGAUUGACUGGUAAUGAUAUGCAAUGCGUUAGAAUUGGUGGUUCUUCAAAUGGAUAUUCGUUCUACGGCUGUGCGGCACCUUGAAUGGCUGAAUCUCAGAGAGUUGGUCUAGCGGAAAAGGAUAUCGAACAGGCCAUUACAGCCUUUAAGAAAGGUGCAUAAUUGCUGAAGUAUGGACGCAGAGGAAAGCCAAAGUUCUGUCCAUUCAAACUUUCAAAUGCAUUGAUUACUCGUGGUAGCAGCCUAAAGUGGAAAAAUGAACGAAGACAUAAUCCUACAUCUUCCAAUAAUCCACAUGCUCAUACUGGAAAAAAUUCUCCAUCAGAUGUCAGAGAUAAUCAUAGAAUACAAGUGUCUGUGGAGAAUGAUUCAUAAGGAGGACUGGCAAAGGCAUUUUCUAAGAUAAUAUCAUAUACUACAAUAGCCAAAAGUUCUGGCCAGGCAAAAUCAGUUCCCUCUCCUCUGGGGUCAUUAGCAACUACAUAUGUAAAUAAUUCAAAGGAUCAAAAUUCUACUAUUGACGACGUUCGAGUCAGUCUAUCUACUGUUGUAAGCUCAUCAAGUCAUGGUUCUUGUUAUAAAGACUUUGAUUCCUUAGGUGAUGUUUUCAUUUGGGGAAAAGGUGUUGGCAAUGGAGUUUUAGUUGUUGAUGUGUAUCAGGUUGGGAACUCUUACAGCCCUCAGAUGGAUGCAAUUUUGCCUAAGGCGUUGGAAUCAACUGUAGUUGGGGAUGUUCAUAAUAUUGCUUGUGGUAGGAAACAUGCAGUGUUAGUUACUAAACAAGGGGAGAUAUAUAGUUAGGGGGAGGAAAUAGGAGGCAGGCUUGGGCAUGGCAUAGAAAUGGAUGUUCCCCACCUGAGGCUCAUUGAAACCCUUAGUGGCAUGAACAUUGAGUUUAUAGCAUGUGGAGAAUAUCACACUUGUGCCAUAACACGCUUUGGGGAUCUUUACAUGUGGGGUGAUUGUACUUAUCAGUGUGGUUUGCUUAGACAUGGAAGUGAAGUCGGUCACUGGAUCCCUAAAAAAGUUUAUGGGCAUAUGGAUAGUAAGCAUGUAUCAUAUAUCUCUUGUGGUCUUUGGCACACAGUUGCUGUGACAUCUAUUGGCCAGUUAUUUAGUUUUGGAGAUGGGUCUUUUGGUGCUCUCGAACGUGGAGAUUGUAGUAGCACAAGUAUUCCACGUGAAGUGGAAACAUUGAUUGGAAUGCGAACGGUGAGAGUUUCUUGUGUUGUUUGGCACACUGUUGCAGUUGUUGAAGUAUUUACUGAAUCAUCUAAUAUUUCUCCGUCAAGUAGCACUUCAUCAGUAACCUGUUCACCAGGGGGGAUGGAGAUAAUGGCCAACUUGGACAUGAUGAUAAAGAACCAAGGCUCAUUCCCAACUGUGUAGCUGCAUUGAUGAAUAAAAAAAUAAGUCAAGUAGCCUGUGGGCACAUUCUCACAGUUGCUCUUACAACCUCAGGACGUGUAUAUGCAAUAGGGAGUAUAGCUUAUGGACAGCUAGGGAUUCCUACUCGGGUUGAAGGUAAAAUUUCCAAAUGUUCUAUAGAAGAGAUUGCCGGUGGUUCUUAUCAUGUUAUGGCCUUGACUUCUUCUUCAGAAGUUUACACUUGGGGUAGGGAUGCAAAUGGGCAAUUGGGCCACGGUGACAAAGACAACAGAAAUUCACCUACACUUGUCGAUUUUCUGGAAGAUAAGCAAAUCAAGAGUAUAGUAUGUGGUUCCAACUCUACUGCUAUUAUAUGUCUUCAUAAAUUGGUAUCUAGUGCUGACCACUUUCUAUGCUCUAGUUGUCAUAAUCCAUUUGGUUUCAGAAGAAAACAUCACAAUUGUUAGAACUGUGGGUUAUUGUUUUGAAAAGCAUGCAGUAUUCGGAAAACCCUGAAAGCUGCUUUGGCUUCAAAUAUAAACAAGCCAUAUCAGGUUUGUGAUGAUUGUUUUAGUAAACUUAAAAAGUUCUUGGAAUCCAGCAUGCGAACUCUGAAAGUCAUAAAUGCAAACAUGCAUUACAAAACUAUUGAGGUAGGUAAUAGAUAGAAUCAAGACGCCAGAUUGCAGGGACAUCUUUCUUGACUCUCAUCUGAUGUCUCAAUCAAACAGAUUGAAAUCAGGCAUUCCAAGCCCAAUUCAAGAAUUGAAUUCCAUGACAGCCAGAUUUCACUAGUUUUUAAUAGAAAUUUUCACUUUAAAGAACAUUUUAUCUCCGCCUAUUCCUAGUUCCGGAGUGACCUCUCAGACAAAAUCUCCUAUUUCAGCAAAGGCUAGUCCGCCUCAGUUUUCUGAGUGACUAUUGAUGAUUCAAAGCAUACAAAUGACAAUUUAACCCAAGAAAUCAGGAAAUUAAAGUCACAGUUAGAAGCAGCAACUUCCAAAUCCCAACAUCGUGAAGCUUAACUUGAAAGAACAUCCAAGAAAUUGAAACUGGUCGUUGCAAUAGUGGCAGAUGAAGCUGAAAAAUGCAAAUCAGUGAAGGAAGUUAUUAAGUCCUUAACUGCUCAGGCUGGAUAUUUCGUCUGAUUUUUAUUAUUAGCACUUCAAUGAAUUGUGAAAUGAAGUUGGAUUGCAUGCAUGUGGUUCAUUAUAUAAUUUGUCUUCACUGAUGUUUUAUCUGUAUAGAAGCUUAAUCAUAUGAACUAUUGAGAGGCUAAGCUGAUAAUUUCUUGUCUAUUAAACAGCCUUUCUAUAUUAAUUAGCUUGCUUCCAUUCUGUAAGUUGAAUAGGAAUAUGCAAUCUCAGCAUACUUCAGGUUGAAAUCUCCCAUAUUAAAAAGAUAAGUAAAUGCAUGUAAAUAAUACACGCGCUGCCUGCCAUAGUUUGGAAGAAUCAGGUAGUAUUUUCAUUUUAAAGAAUAGUCAUUCUCUAGUGAAGACUUAAAGCCUGAACUUUUUCGUUCUUUCUUUUUUUCUCCUUUAUUUUUAUUUUUUUUUUAAUUUUUUUUUCCUUUAAUUCAACAUAGACAUCCCCAAUUGAAUGUUUUAAAGGGCCAGUUUAUCUGACUUAUUGUUAAAAAGAAAGUUCUGCAAUAAGUUCAUCUUAGUCUGCACCUAAGAAUUUUUGUUGUAAAAAAUUUAUGAUAUAUCCUAAUUAAAUUUGCAAUAGAGAUAAAUAUACCAUUUUAAGGGACAAAAGGUAGAGGCUUUGGGUUGGGGAGGAAUUAUUUGGAAGAUUGGGACAUAAGUAGAAAAUGCCUGCCACCGAUUUGAGAAAGAGAAAGGAUGAUUUUUUAUAUUCUUGUAUGAUUCAUCUUCAUAUACCAGUGAUAUCAUGCAGUGAAUAUGACCAUGUUCUUUGAUUAGCAUAUAUGAAGCAAUCAAGAUUGUAAAAAGCGACAUAGAAAUAAGCAUGCUUCCAUUUUUAUUUUCAAACCACAUAAGAAUACGUAGUAACCAGAUCUAUGUAUUGUUCUUGUAUUUUAAAUGGACUGGUAUUACAGUUGAAAGAGAUGGCUGAAAGAAACCCAGAAGAACAUACUACCAGCCACACUUCAGGUUUGCUUGCUGGACACAACUCUAGUGUUCGAAUCAUGCUUCCUAGAGAAAGCACCAAAGCAAUCACAAUAUCUCCUGAAGGUGAAUCCAGUGCCAGUUCAAUAAGCCAAACCUUAUCUCAUGGAACCAAGGCUAAAACUGAGAAGGCAGAGUGGGUGGUUCUAGAUGAACCAGGAGUGUACAUAACUUUGUCUUCCACAUCAGGUGGUGGUACUGAACUCAAGCGUGUUCGCUUCAGUCCCAAGUAUUUCACAGAAGAAGAAGCAGAGAAGUGGUGGGCCGAAAAUUCAGCCCAAGUGUGCGAAGGGUGCAAAGUCCAAUGUGCAGAUUAUUCCCCAUAAGACGUUUACUGUUAUAGACGGUCUGCUUCUCCCAGUUAUUCAAUCGAAGAAUAGUGGGCCAUAUAAUGGCGGAUGGUUUUUGAGACACAAAGGAUGGUUACAAUGUAGGACCAAGAGUACAAGAAAACAGAUAAAUGCAAGUGCAUUUCGAGGAACAGGUUUUUUCCCUUCUUUUAUUUGGGUCUUAACCGGGCUGUCUUCUUUGAAGAUAUUUGUUGCCUUCUCCUUAUUCAUACCCUUCCAUUUAAGAGGAUGAAUGCAGGGAGAGAGCAGACGCAAGUCUAAAAAGAGCCAUGUAGCACUAUCAAAGUCUAGGCAGGUGCAGUAAAUGAGAUUGUUCAUCCAAUAGUUGAAGAAAGAGAUGAAAAUUAAUAUUUAAUAUAGGUAUCAACUCAGUCAAGAGAUGAAAAUAAAUAUCAGUAAAGGCAACUGAAAUUCUUGGUUGAGACCAUACCUUGUCAACAAUUUUGCUUAGUUUCUAUCUUUCCAUUUCAAUUGUGCUACGUCCAGCUUCCUUUAUCAUCUUAGGACUCUUGCUUCUAAUUGACAUAAUGCCACCAACUUGUUUAUCA